AGAUUGAACGCUGGCGGCAUGCCUUACACAUGCAAGUCGAACGGCAGCACGGGGGCAACCCUGGUGGCGAGUGGCGAACGGGUGAGUAAUACAUCGGAACGUGUCCAGUUGUGGGGGAUAACCAGUCGAAAGAUUGGCUAAUACCGCAUGAGCCCGAAAGGGGAAAGCGGGGGACCUGUGAGGGCCUCGCGCGAUUGGAGCGGCCGAUGUCCGAUUAGCUAGUUGGUGAGGUAACGGCUCACCAAGGCGACGAUCGGUAGCUGGUCUGAGAGGACGACCAGCCACACUGGGACUGAGACACGGCCCAGACUCCGUACGGGAGGCAGCAGUGGGGAAUUUGGACAAGUGGGGCAACCCGUGAUCCAGCCAUCGCCGCGUGUGUGAUGAAGGCCGUUCGGGUUGUAAAGCGUACGUUUACGGACGGAACGAAAUCGGCGUGGACGAAUACGU
rnacentral:rRNA from 1 species